GACGAACGCUGGCGGCGUGCUUAACACAUGCAAGUCGAACGGUGAAGCUCCAGCUUGCUGGAGUGGAUCAGUGGCGAACGGGUGAGUAACACGUGAGCAACCUGCCCCUGACUCUGGAAUAAGCGCUGGAAACGGCGUCUAAUACUGGAUACGAGAAGGGUCCGCAUGGGCACUUUCUGGAAAGUUUUUCGGUUGGGGAUGGGCUCGCGGCCUAUCAGCUUGUUGGUGAGGUAAUGGCUCACCAAGGCGACGACGGGUAGCCGGCCUGAGAGGGCGACCGGGGCCACAGGGGCAGAGAGACGGCCCAGAGACCCACGGGGGGGAGGGGGGGGGAAAAUUUCACACAGGGGGCAAACCUGAGGCACAGCCGCCGCGUGGGGGAGGUGGGGCUUUGGGUGUGAAACCCCUUUUAGCGGGGAAAAAAAGAAAAGGAGGGGGCCCGUAGAAGAAGCACCGGCGAAAACCGC
rnacentral:rRNA from 1 species